UCCCACGCCAUACCACCCUGAACGCGCCCGAUCUCGUCUGAUCUCGGAAGCUAAGCAGGGUCGGGCCUGGUUAGUACUUGGAUGGGAGAUCGAUUAUUUUUAAAGACAGCGCAGUGGGGU
ensembl:rRNA 5S_rRNA 5S ribosomal RNA